AACGCACAUUGCGCCCUAUGGUAUUCCGUAGGGCAUGCCUGUCUGAGCGUCAGCUCCCACCCCACUCAAGUAUCUAUUUAUCAGAUGCUUGGAAUGCUUUGGAGAAGUGCCUUGUUAUAGAGACGCCCCCCAGAAAUUGAUAGGCAGUAUGGUUUGCACCUGAACCAGACGUAAUAAUAAUAAAAUCGUUUGUUUAGGUAUAAUUGUGCUUGCCUCAACCCACCCAUUUUUUUAUUUUUUUAUCUUUGGGUGACCUCAGAUCAGGUAGGGAUACCCGCUGAACUUAA
rnacentral:misc_RNA from 1 species